AGCGAACGCUGGCGGCAUGCUUAACACAUGCAAGUCGCACGGGCAGCAAUGUCAGUGGCGGACGGGUGAGUAACGCGUAGGAACGUGUCCUGAGGUGGGGGACAACCCCGGGAAACUGGGGCUAAUACCGCAUAUGGGCUGAGGCCCAAAGCCGAGAGGCGCCUUUGGAGCGGCCUGCGUCCGAUUAGGUAGUUGGUGGGGUAAAGGCCUACCAAGCCUGCGAUCGGUAGCUGGUCUGAGAGGACGACCAGCCACACUUGGACUGAGACACGGCCCAGACUCCUACGGGAGGCAGCAGUGGGGAAUAUUGGACAAUGGGCGAAAGCCUGAUCCAGCAAUGCCGCGUGGGUGAAGAAGGUCUUCGGAUCGUAAAGCCCUUUCGACGGGGACGAUGAUGACGGUACCCGUAGAAGAAGCCCCGGCUAACUUCGUG
rnacentral:rRNA from 1 species